rnacentral:rRNA from 1 species
CCCGCCUGGGGAGUACGGCCGCAAGGCUAAAACUCAAAGGAAUUGACGGGGGCCCGCACAAGCAGCGGAGCGUGUGGUUUAAUUCGAUGCUAAGCGAAGAACCUUACCAGGGCUUGAAAUAUACAUGCAAGCCAACGAAAGUUGGUCCUCCUUCGGGACGUGUAUACAGAUGUUGCAUGGUUGUCGUCAGCUCGUGCCGUGAGGUGUUGGGUUAAGUCCCGCAACGAGCGCAACCCUUGUCGUUAGUUGCUUUUUCUAGCGAGACUGCCCCUUAAAAGGGGGAGGAAGGUGGGGAUGACGUCAAAUCAGCACGGCUCUUACGUCCUGGGCUACACACACGCUACAAUGGCCAAUACAGAGGGUUGCCAAGGAGCGAUCCGGAGCUAAUCCCAAAAAGUUGGUCUCAGUUGGAAUUGCAGGCUGCAACUCGCCUGCAUGAACGCGGAGUUGCUAGUAACCGCAGGUCAGCAUACUGCGGUGAAUACGUUCCCGGGCCUUGUACACACCGCCCGUCAAGUCAUGGAAGUUGACAAUACCUGAAGUCGCUGGGCUAACCCGCAAGGGAGGCAGGCGCCGAGGGUAGGGUCGAUGACUGGGACU